rnacentral:tRNA from 4 species
GGGCGGUUAGCUCAGCUGGGAGAGCGCCUGCCUUACAAGCAGGAGGUCACUGGUUCGAGCCCAGUACCGCCCA